UUUUAGAAAGUCUUCCGGUUUGGUUGGCUGUGUACCGGAACUCUUUCUUAAAGACUUUCGGUUUGGAUGAACUAAACUGGAACUCUUUUAAGAAGUGUUCUGGUAGUCAGCCUUGUCUUUCUCCACACCGGAACUCUUCUUUGAAGUGUUCCAGUGCGUCUUUUUUUUUUUUAAUUUUUUUAAUUUUUAAUUAUUUUGUAGUGGUUCGAAGACGAGGUACAGAUGGUAGGAUUCCAGACGGCAGUUUAGGCCGGGGCGCAUCUUCA
rnacentral:lncRNA from 1 species